AUUGAACGCUGGCGGCAUGCCUUACACAUGCAAGUCGAACGGUAACGGGCCUUCGGGUGCCGACGAGUGGCGAACGGGUGAGUAAUGUAUCGGAACGUACCUUUCAGUGGGGGAUAACGUAGCGAAAGUUACGCUAAUACCGCAUAUUCUGUGCGCAGGAAAGCAGGGGAUCGCAAGACCUUGCGCUGAUUGAGCGGCCGAUAUCAGAUUAGCUAGUUGGUGAGGUAAAGGCUCACCAAGGCGACGAUCUGUAGCGGGUCUGAGGGGAUGAUCCGCCACACUGGAACUGAGACACGGUCCAGACUCCUACGGGAGGCAGCAGUGGGGAAUUUUGGACAAUGGGGGCAACCCUGAUCCAGCCAUGCCGCGUGAGUGAAGAAGGCCUUCGGGUUGUAAAGCUCUUUCGGCCGGGAAGAAAUCGUAUCAGCUAAUACCUGGUGCGGAUGUCGGUACCGGCAUAAGAAGCACCGGCUAACUACGUGCCAGCCGCCGCAGUAAUAC
rnacentral:rRNA from 1 species